CCUAAGAGAAAUCAGAGAAGCGGUGCUACUGUGCUUCUUCUUCACUGAGCUUGGCUUCAACUCGCCUGAGUUUCGAGCGAGCUCAUUCAAGUCGGUCCCCCUCUCCACGUCACCUCUAUUUCCCAACAGAUUUGUCAGAGAGGAGUACGAUUAUUCCCUCAAAACUGCGGAUUUUUGUACAAAAAGAACGAUUUAUUGGAUGAAUGGGAGCCUGUGAAUCAAUCCACGCCUACAAAAAUUGUUCAAGAAUUUGAAGGAUUUUUCAAAUUUGGGCAGAUUUUUGGACAUUUCUGAAAGCUAUAUAUAUGAGGAAGAUCGGUAUGAAGUUCAAGUUGGUUUUGAGUUUGAGGUCCGAAAUUCCAGUGUUGAUGUGGUUUAAGCUUGUCGAUCCCUGUCUCUGCUGCUGAUUCGUUCACUAUUGUUGCUGGACUUCAUCCCCAUCAUUGAUUAGUCAUUUUGGUUAUUUUCUUGCAAGCUAGGUAUGUCUAUACCUCUAUGUUUUCCCUGUUUGUUCUAUUCAAAAAAAAUCUGUUUUCAUGUCAUAAUUCUGUCCGAGUUGCGUAGGCUAUUAGUGCAAUUGUUGAGUUGUGUUUUGGAUAAAUAGAGUGUUUUCUAGCUUUGUUUCUUUUCUGCUACUUGGUUUUCAUCUUGUCUGGAUUUGAAAGUCGGCUUUCGCUUUUAGUCGUUGCUGGGUCCAUUAAGCUGCAAUUGUUCUGGUGUUGUUUGUGUUAGCUCGUCACUGCUAAGCUUCAUUCCCUGGCCUUCUAACCUUAUUUGGUAUUUUAAUUGCUGUUUUUUUUCCUGCCUUCAUGUAUGUACAAACUUACUUGUAGUACUCUAUUGCACUUAUAAAUGGAAACUUGAAUUGUUUUAUGCUAUGAUAGUGUUAAAUUCCAUCAUCAGAUUCGACUGCAAAUCUUGUUUGGUACAAGCUUUCUAGUUCUCUGAUUGUUUAUUUGAGUUAAAUGAUGUAAUUGAAACUAUCUCCUGAUUUAUGCAAUUACCCAAUGUCAUUGUUUAAGCCCAUUACUAUGGAUGUGUCACUAGUUUAGCUUACAGGUUCUUUCAUGCUUAAAUUAUCUCAUGAUUAGUCCAUUGUAUCUGGAGUGAUGAUUUAUUCUCCAAAAAUUGGUGAUUCAUAUUCAAAAUGCUUACAGUGGUAAACUAAUAAAAUAUAUCGCUUUGAUUAUUUCAGUUCAAAUUGAAAUUAUUCUGUAAUUAAACUAAGAAAUUGCACAACAUUUAGACUAAUCUCAUUUGUGUUUGGAUGUUUAGCUACUGCCAAUGGUCAAAUGAUUUAUGAGAGUAGUUUGGUAGCUAUCUAAUUGUAAGCCAAAAGUAAACCUUGUAAUUUCAAUUGUCAAUUGUUAAUUUGUUGCAAUCA